GCCUGGGUGGCUCAGUCGGUUAAGUGCCUGACUUCGGCUCAGGUCAUGAUCUCACGGUUCGUGGGUUCAAGCCCCACAUUGGGCU
rnacentral:tRNA from 1 species